rnacentral:rRNA from 2 species
UACGUAGGGUGCAAGCGUUAAUCGGAAUUACUGGGCGUAAAGCGUGCGCAGGCGGUGAUGUAAGACAGAUGUGAAAUCCCCGGGCUCAACCUGGGAACUGCAUUUGUGACUGCAUCGCUAGAGUACGGCAGAGGGGGAUGGAAUUCCGCGUGUAGCAGUGAAAUGCGUAGAUAUGCGGAGGAACACCGAUGGCGAAGGCAAUCCCCUGGGCCUGUACUGACGCUCAUGCACGAAAGCGUGGGGAGCAAACAGG